rnacentral:lncRNA from 1 species
UUCUUUCGUAUAUUCUUCUUGUCCCAUCUUGAAAACAUGUUGCCAAACAAAACAUCAUAUGCCACAUUGGCUUAAUAGAUUUGCUUCAAAAAUUGAAAAAGAACCUUAGUAAAAAAGAAACAUUUGUUUAUGCACGAACCUGAUUGAACCAGCAAUAAUUUUUCUUUCUUUCUUUUGAAUAAUUUUUGAAAUGGGAUAUGUCUAAGGGAGUAAACUUCAACAUAAAAUCUUUAUUUAUUUUUAUCUGAUUUCAACACAGUAAAAUUGUUGGACUAGGUAUAAUGACAUUAGAUAAUUGCAAUUAUCAAAAUUACAACUAAUUUAAUAACAUUAACAACAACACCGCAUACAUAACAUUAACAAUUAUGACAAAUUGCACAGUUAGUUGCAAUUGGGGCAUUUCAAUUUUCAUCAUCGCUAAUUCGCUGGAGUGGUUAGCAUUUGUUGGAUGAGUUGUUACAUUUAAACGCUCGGAUGUGUCCAUUUGCAAUCUCCUUUGAUUAUGCAACGCUCGAACAUAUUCGUCACACCAACUGAUGAAGUUACCACAUUACUGCAUAUUUUGGAACACAAUAAAUUUAUUCAGUUGUGUAAAAAGACCUAAUAUACAAAAAUUACAAUAAAUAAAUACAUACCGCUAUUCUUGGGCAAGAAUAAUAGUGUCUAUCCGGAUUCUUUUCCGACAUUGAAAGUUUGACUAUACAAAACCCGUACCACAACAACAUAUGAAUGGAGGCCAUACAAAUUCGAUGAAAUUUUUUAGAUUCACGUGGAGUACCAUAAAGUAUAUUACAUUUUCUGUUUACAUAAUCGAAACUAUAACAUGACAAGACAUUCCUGCAUACUUAAGCAAUUGAAUCCGAAUCCUGGUCAACAAAAAUUAAAAUAAAAUAGCCACUUCUAAUUUAAUCAAGGAUCAAACUCAUGGUAGCCACUCAAAUAUGACAAACGGUAGACACCUAGUUGCCAGAAAUAUAUGCUUAAUAUGCAACUAUAAUCAACAUACUCAAUUCUCCAUUACAGAUUGACAGAUCAACUACAGCAUCAAUAAUAAAUGCCAAAAUAUUCCCAGCACCUAAAAAUUUAGAUCACACAUGCAGUAAAAAAAUAUCAUAGUUGUUUUAAAUCUACACAACUAGACAUCAUUAUAACUAACAACAUUGAAAUACUUAAUUAUAUUUAAUUUUGUAAUAUACAUAAACAUCAUCUGUCAUCAGUAUAUGGAAUGAGAUGAUCCAAAUUGAUUUCAUCUUAAAUACUCUUUUCAAUAUCACAUUUCAUCUUAUUUUACAAAAAAAAAAAACUAAAAUUCCCUCCAAUUUCGCACAAUAGUUCCAUAUGCAAACAUUAACAACUCAAUUUUAAGCAUUAAAUUGAAAUUGAACACCAAUGUUCACUAAAUUUCAUGCACUGUGCAUAGGAGAAUUCAGGUUUUUGGAGGUUGAAAGCAACCAAACUACAAGAGAGAUCCAUCAAUUCCCCUUGUCAGAAAUUGAGAUAUUAAGUUUUCUUUCUUUAUAACAACGGUGCAAGCCUCUAGACUGCAUUUAGUUUGGAGUUGGACCAAGUAGUGAACUGAGUUGUUGGCCCAAAAAAGGCAUUAACAUUGGAUUUUUGAGAUGCAGGGUACUGAACCUGUAACUUUUGCUAAAGCUCUAUAACAUUAAUCUGCUCAAUUUUAUGCUUCUGCAGUUUAUAACAAUGCUUGAAUUUUGCACUACCAUAUCUUAGAUUUUGUCUUGUCUCUAUUUUGUAACCUCCAUAAUCAACCCAUAGCAUAAAAGUUGAGAAAGACUCUGCUAUUGCAUAAUUAAUGCGUGCUCAAGAUUAUCAUACCAUUCAUUUCACAAAUCAACAUCACCUUAAUAUUUCCUAUUUAUCCUAAAUUAGAAAAAGGGCAUAUCUUUUAAAAAAUCAAAAAAUAAAACGGAACAAAAUCAACCCAAAACUUUCGAUAGAAAAUGCGGUAGGCCUAAUCUCUACAGGGAAGUGAUCUGUCUCAAACCAAUCGAAGAGCUACGUUAGGGGAAAAGGGGCAGAAUGAACCCAAUUCAAAACCACCUAAUAAACCCUAGAUUUUUUACGCAAAAAAUAAAAAUUACAAAAUCAAUAAAGUGAAGUACCCUCACCUUCGUUUGCAGAUGCUUCCGUUGGCCGGAGCUUCCGUUGGCCGGAGCCGCGUCUGUUCCUUUACCUUAUGUUUGCUACAGAUUCGUGGUGAGAGAGAGGGGGAAGAGUUAGAGAGAGAAAUUGAUGGCUGAGGCGUAAUGGGUUUUAUUUUGUUUGACCCAUUUUGCCGACCCACGCAUUUACAAAUGUAACCCGCGUGUUUUUUUUUUGCUGCAGUUCGUUUGUAGUCUGUUCAUUGAGUUCGCUGGAGAAGGUUUUCCGAUAUAUAUAUAUAUAUAUAUAUAUGCUGAUCGACUAGAAGUUGGAAUAGUUAAAAAGGAGGCCGGGCCGGGAGGUAGGAGCAUGCAUCAAAAGAAUACAAGGUGGUUCUCAAUCAUUUAAGUGGAAAAAAGCUAGCUAGCUAGCUUACUCACAUAUAUAUGCCUAUAUAUAACUUCAAAUUAAAGAAAAGACAAUUAAAGAUGGUCUCCUCUCCUCUCCUCCAUAUAUUAAUUUCCUCUUCCAUAUUCCAUUUCAUUCCAUUGAAUAAAACCCCCCACUUUUUCAUAACCUUUCUGGCCAUUGAGAGUCCUCCAUGUCACCCUCACCAACAGGAGGAUCGAUAGAGUAAAUUUGAAGUAAGAAAAGCAAAGGUAAGAAGAAGAAGAAACGAUCGAUCGAGACUCUUCCAUAUUGCAUGGGACUGGACUCUCCUUUUUGGGACAUUAAUUGAGUAAUAUAUAUAUACAUAAGAGACAUACAUGCAUAUAUUAAUCAUUCAUUUCUGUACUCAAAAUGAAUGAAUCUAUUUAAUUAUAUUCUUUGUUAGAUUUAAGAUCACCUAAAGCAAGCAACUUCGGCUUGAAAAAUAAGUGCAUAUAUAUAUGUUACAAAAAUCUAGCUAACUAAAUCAACUAAUUACGUACAUGAAACAGUACUCCCAACUCCUUUUCUUUGUGUAUUGGAAUUGCAUGUUACAUGUUUCCGAGUUCAAUGACAGAUUUUUGGCUCCUUCGUUGAACUGGCCGGCAUUUAUAAU